AGCAGCCAUCGGUUCUUGUGCUGGGUGUGUCCAAAGCCUUCAUCAUAAUUCCCUUUUCUUCUGAACAGUUGUUUGUAGUGAAAUAUACAGUAGAACUCCCCGUGUAAAGGUGUAUAAUUUUGCAUGCUACACUUUUUUCUUGCACUGCUUACAACAGAAGCAAGUUUUGUGAAAAAUGUAUUUGUCUGCUGUGAUUUUUUCCAUCGGAUAAACCGGCUUUGAACAGGCUGAACACAUCUCUUGACAAGCAGGUAGAAACUGAUGGAGAAAAAAAAUAGACCGAGCUUGGUGAAAAAGAAAUGUUUUUCUUUUCUUUUUUUUUUCUUUUUUUUUUU